AUCAUUACAUAGUGGACUCCAUUUCCACAGAUGACUUUCUCUAUAGCUUUAGUACAUGAAAUGAAAUGAAAUACAUUUGGACAACUCCUUCAUGAAAAGCAUUGCUUUAGAAAUAACUCCCAUUCUCACCUUGCCUCCUGCAGGCCUCACUAGCCAAUCAGGCUGUCCAGGCAACUUACCAGUCAGAAGUGGUUCAGAGUCCUUCUAGAAGCCAGCUUCAGGCUUGACUUCGAAGAGGAGAACAUGCCAUUGAUUCUGUGUGCUAUGCUGUGAGUGCUGCUGCAGGGAGCUGAGCAGAGAGCAUGGACAAGCUGGGAAACCAC